GAUGAUAUGGAAAACAUUUAUGCGGGGAUUAAGCUUUUAAUGUUAACUAGUGCAGGACCAUGUGGCAGGCAAUGAUACGUUAAGCUCCAAAACUUAAGAGCACUCUCACGGAAGCCACCAUGCAAUGGAUUCAUGACUCUUCAAAGAAAGUACAACAGAGACACGCACCCCAACGGAAGGGCCUAUUUGAGAUACUUAUGUUCUGAUAAUUUAUAAAUCAACAGGUAUGACUGCUCAAAAUAUGUGCACCAGUGUUAAGCAUCUGUACAAGUGGGUGAUAGGAGUUGCCAUUACAAUGAAGUUUAAAAAUGGAGAAGUCGCAUUACUUGACGGUUCAUAAAAGGUUUUCAAACUAAGAUGGUGUAAUUGCACUAUAAGAUUCAAAACUAAGAUAAUUUUCCCAAUAUGUCUUUACGAAGUAGCUAUUUCGAUCUCAUAUUUUCUCCUAAUAGGAAUUGCACACGUAAAUGGACUUCGACUCAGCUCAUUGUCCAUGUUUGAUGGUUAAGAAACGCCAGCAAAGGAGAGUCAGAAAUCAUAUGCUGAAACGGGUUUGGUCGUUCUGGAAUUUCCAGAGCACCUACCCAAGGUCUCAGAUCCGGCCGAUACUGAACCCACCAC
rnacentral:lncRNA from 1 species